AAUAAAAUUCAGAUUUAUAUUUAAACCUUAUUUAAUAUUAAUAUCCUUAUUUAUUCAUAUUUUCUAGAAAUGUUAUAUAUUUAAUUGGUUAAUCUAAAUAAUCAAAUAUGUCAUAUUAUGCAAUUAAUUAAAUGGUUCUACUAUGACAUGUCAAUAGUAGAUAAAAUGUGUCUCUAUUUUAAUAUAAUAGAUAUAAAAGUUUUUACAAAUAAAAACAAAAAUCUUGACCAAAAUUAAAUCAAGUUGGAAUGGAUACAAAUCUUGACAUUCAUUAUUUAAGAUUUGUUUUGACAUCAUAUUAUUUAAGAUUAUUAAGUUGGAAUGGAUGAAAGAUAGAUCAUUCAGUGGAAUGGAGUUAUACUGUUACUAACAAUUUAAUAUUGUUGCCUAAGACUAUAAAUUGAAUAGAUAGAUGUGUAUAUAUAGGUGUGUGUGUGACAUUAGAAUGAAAGCAUAAAAAUAGAAAUCAUUAAAAAGGAGAACAUGGUGUCUAGGAAAGUGCUCCUUCUAGGCCUUUUGAUGUGUCUUUCAUGGUUGUGGGUAGCUAAAGCAUUGGAAGGAGAUGCAAAAUUUAGGGACGACGUGACAGAUGUACCGAUACAAACACAACGUGGAGGAUCUUGCGACAAUGAUGGCGUUUGUCAAGCUUUUUGUCCAGGCUGUGCAGUAACAAGAUGUAUCUUCAAACAAUGUGUUUGCGAGCAAUGUAUCCCUCCGAAACCAAAGUUACGUGUUAGAAGAGAUGCAACGACGGAAGAUGGAGGACAGACUUGCGACGACGACAACACUUGCAUUAAGAACUGACCCCGCUGUGCUUUUGUUCAAUGUAUCGACCGAAAAUGUUUUUUUUUUUUGCUAAAAGACCGAAAAUGUUUUUGCAUUAA